GUUACACGGGAGGCCGGCAUUCUGCCCAGGUCUCCAUCAAGGAGGCUCAGUGCCGUCUCCAGGACGAGGCUGCAGAAACAGGAGAAAUACAUUUAAAAAACAAGGACAACAAAAAACCUGUGCCUAGGAGCAGAGAAUGUGACUUCUAUGAGGUAGAACCAGGCUGCACAAAGUGAAAAGGGAAGUUUGCUGCUAUCAAGAGUGGGAGCCUGACUCAGCUAAACCC